rnacentral:tRNA from 15 species
UGUUUAGUGGCGCAGCGGAAGCGUGUGGGCCCAUAACCCACAGGUCCCAAGAUCGAAACCUGGCUCUGAUAC